UGUAUCGGAAGCCUGACGAGGAUGAGAACCUCCGGGGGCAAGAGGUUCGACCCGAGCGCAGCGAGAGAACGUUGCGUCAGCAACGGCCCGCAGGGCGAGCCACGCAGUGGCGAGUCAUCCUCUAUCACCGACCA
rnacentral:sRNA from 2 species